rnacentral:lncRNA from 10 species
GUUCCCAAAGAUAUCCCCUGAACGCUUCGCUGAUGUUAAUUUAUCACAAAGGAGCCAAGCCAAAACGUUGAAAACUCUUCCAUAUUCAGCAGUGGGGAAUUGUCUACACAAAUUAAAGAUAGGUACUACCAACCUUCCAGACACCAAGACUUGAAAACUAAGAGCAGCCACCCUUAAGAAGGCAAUCUCUCCUGCUCCAACCGUUACCUCAUUGACUAGACUUGACAACUGGAACUCUGUAUCAGUGAUUCCCAAGAAAGUUUCAUACUUUUUACAAUGGCUAGUUUUAAAAAGAGGCAACUUGCACACAAUUGAAGUGGAUCAACCCCUCUUAACCAGUUGUGGCUAUAAAGAUUGACAGCAGUGGGUGGUCAGCCUUCCUUUCAUUCUUCCAUGUACACAGAAAUGUCAUCAGGAUUCAGUUACUUCUAUGUCAACAUGGAAUUAUGUAAUCUGCUCUCAAAAUUCAAAAGACUACCAACAUGUAUUAAAAUGUCGAUCAAGAAUUCAUAUAUACAUUUCAAGAAUAUGUUGAAUUAACAGAUGAAAAAAACUCCUUAGAAAAAGUGGUCAAAUAUUUCAAGUGAAGUUUGGUGGGGAAGUAAAAUCUUUAAGAAAUUACUAUGCAUCAUUGUCAGUUAAGUGCAAUAUAAAAUGGACAUACAUAAAUGAAAAAGCCAGAAUAAAUAAAGUUGACAGAGAAAUUUAAAAGAAGCAAGAAGCCGUUUUCCACACCCAUACCCUGGUUGCACAUUGACCACACACUCCAAAAUAGGGAGGAAAACCGAGACAACACCCUGAAAGAAAACAAAACCAGAAACAGCACUUUACAAGAAAUUCUCCAGAAUCUUAUAAUACAAAGACAUUUUCUACAACUCAGAUCUCCUUUCCAGAUUAGCCUAAUUUCUUUUUAUUUCAAGAAAUGUGCUUCUGAAUUAUCAAAUAAACUCUCUCAAUCUCUGCUUCUGCCUGAAGUUGAAUGGAUGAAACAACUAAAAAUCUGAAGAUUUUAUAAGAUUUCCAUAUGCUGUAGACCACAAGGACGAAGGCAGUUGUUGUCCUACCUGGAAGCAGGCAGUGCCUUGACUCAUUUGCUCCAGACCCUGUCUCUGACAUGCUUGGCAGACAUUCUCCCCAGAUGAGUCACUCCUGAGACCUGCAUUUGAGUGGAUCUUCCAUGUCCUGCAACCCUGAUUUCCACCUCAGCCAUUCUUACCCUUAUUACCUUAUCCAUGUCAUUAUUGAACUUGCUCCCUGCUAUAGACUUUGCAUGUGUGUGGACCUCCAAAAUUCCUAUUUUGAAAUCUAAUCACUGAUAUGCAAUAGAAUUAAGUGGUGAGGACUUUUGAGAGGUGACUGGGUCAUUGAUAUGGUUUGGCAGUGUCCCAUCCAAAUCUCAUCUUGAAUUGUAACUCCCACAAUUUCCACAUGUCAUGGGAGGGACCUGGUGGCAGGUGAUUGAAUUAUGGGGGCAGCCCUUUUCCUGCACUGUUUUUGUGGUAGUGAAUGAGUCCCAUGAGAUCUGAUGGUUUUAAAAAGGGGAAUUUCCCUGCACAAGUUCUUCUCUUGUCUGCCACCAUGUGAGACGUGCCUUUCACCUUCUGCCAUGAUUGUGAGACCUCCCCAGCUACGUGGAACUGUAAGUCCAAUAAAUCACUUUCUUUUGUAAAUUUCCCAGUCUCAGGUAUGUCUUUAUCAGCAGUGUGAAAACAGACUAAUACAGUCAUGAAAGUGGAGCCCUUAUGAAUGUGAAUAGUGCCUUAUUAAAACAGGCUUGAGGAAACUUGCUCACCCAUUUCACCAUUUGAGGACACAGCUAAAAGGGGCCAUCUAUGAGGAACAGGCUUUCACCAGAUGCAAAAUCUGCUACCUUAAUCUUUGACCUCACAGAUUUCAGAAUUGUGAGCAAGACAUUUCUGUUGUGUAUAAAUGACCUAGCGUUAGGUAUUUGUUUAUGACAGCCCCACCAGACAAAUACACUCCCCAGUGCCCCAUCUCAUCAACAGCCAUAG